rnacentral:rRNA from 1 species
AUACGGAGGGGGCUAGCGUUGUUCGGAAUUACUGGGCGUAAAGCGUGCGUAGGCGGACUGAUCAGUUGGGGGUGAAAUCCCAGGGCUUAACCCUGGAACUGCCUUCAAUACUGUCAGUCUUGAGUUUGGGAGAGGUGAGUGGAAUUCCUAGUGUAGAGGUGAAAUUCAUAGAUAUUAGGAGGAACACCAGUGGCGAAGGCGGCUCACUGGCCCAUUACUGACGCUGAGGUACGAAAGCGUGGGGAGCAAACAGGAUUAGAAACCCUAGUAGUCC